rnacentral:rRNA from 1 species
AGUGUCCUACGGGGCGCAGCAGUGAGGAAUAUUGGUCAAUGGCCGAGAGGCUGAACCAGCCAAGUCGCGUGAGGGAAGACGGCCCUACGGGUUGUAAACCUCUUUUGUCGGGGAGCAAAGCGAGUCACGUGUGACUCAUUGAGAGUACCCGAAGAAAAAGCAUCGGCUAACUCCGUGCCAGCAGCCGCGGCAAUACGUAGGUGGCAAGCGUUAUCCGGAUUUAUUGGGCGUAAAGGGAACGCAGGCGGUCUUU